rnacentral:rRNA from 1 species
GUAGUCCACGCCCUAAACGAUGUCGACUAGGUGUUGGGGAAGCGAUUCCUUGGUACCGAAGCUAACGCGUGAAGUCGACCGCCUGGGGAGUACGGCCGCAAGGUUAAAACUCAAAGGAAUUGACGGGGACCCGCACAAGCGGUGGAUGAUGUGGAUUAAUUCGAUGCAACGCGAACAACCUUACCUACCCUUGACAUGUCCGGAAGCCUGCUGAAAGGCGGGGGUGCCCGAAAGGGAACCGGAACACAGGUGCUGCAUGGCUGUCGUCAGCUCGUGUCGUGAGAUGUUGGGUUAAGUCCCGCAACGAGCGCAACCCUUGUCCCUAGUUGCUACGCAAGGGCACUCUAGGGAGACUGCCGGUGACAAACCGGA